UGGGGGAAUUUUGGACAAUGGGCGAAAGCCUGAUCCAGCAAUGCCGCGUGUGUGAAGAAGGCCUUCGGGUUGUAAAGCACUUUUGUCCGGAAAGAAAUCCUUGGCUCUAAUACAGUCGGGGGAUGACGGUACCGGAAGAAUAAGCACCGGCUAACUACGUGCCAGCAGCCGCGGUAAUACGUAGGGUGCAAGCGUUAAUCGGAAUUACUGGGCGUAAAGCGUGCGCAGGCGGUUUGCUAAGACCGAUGUGAAAUCCCCGGGCUCAACCUGGGAACUGCAUUGGUGACUGGCAGGCUAGAGUAUGGCAGAGGGGGGUAGAAUUCCACGUGUAGCAGUGAAAUGCGUAGAGAUGUGGAGGAAUACCGAUGGCGAAGGCAGCCCCCUGGGCCAAUACUGACGCUCAUGCACGAAAGCGUGGGGAGCAAACAGGAUUAGAUACCCUGGUAGUCCACGCCCUAAACGAUGUCAACUAGUUGUUGGGGAUUCAUUUCCUUAGUAACGUAGCUAACGCGUGAAGUUGACCGCCUGGGGAGUACGGUCGCAAGAUUAAAACUUAAAUGAA
rnacentral:rRNA from 1 species